rnacentral:rRNA from 1 species
GAGUUUGAUCGUGGCUCAGAGCGAGCGCUGGCGGCAGGCCUAACACAUGCAAGUCGAACGAACUCUUCGGAGUUAGUGGCGGACGGGUGAGUAACACGUGGGAACGUGCCUUUUGGUUCGGAAUAACUCAGGGAAACUUGUGCUAAUACCGAAUGUGCCCUUCGGGGAAAGAUUAUCGCCAUUAGGCGGCCCGCGUCUGAUUAGCUAGUUGGUGAGGUAAAGGCUCACCAAGGCGACGAUCAGUAGCUGGUCUGAGAGGAUGAUCAGCCACAUUGGGACUGAGACACGGCCCAAACUCCUACGGGAGGCAGCAGUGGGGAAUCUUGCGCAAUGGGCGAAAGCCUGACGCAGCCAUGCCGCGUGAAUGAUGAAGGUCUUAGGAUUGUAAAAUUCUUUCACCGA